AGUGAACGCUGGCGGUAGGCCUAACACAUGCAAGUCGAACGGCAGCACAGUAAGAGCUUGCUCUUACGGGUGGCGAGUGGCGGACGGGUGAGGAAUACAUCGGAAUCUACUUUUUCGUGGGGGAUAACGUAGGGAAACUUACGCUAAUACCGCAUACGACCUACGGGUGAAAGCAGGGGAUCUUCGGACCUUGCGCGAUUGAAUGAGCCGAUGUCGGAUUAGCUAGUUGGCGGGGUAAGGGCCCACCAAGGCGACGAUCCGUAGCUGGUCUGAGAGGAUGAUCAGCCACACUGGAACUGAGACACGGUCCAGACUCCUACGGGAGGCAGCAGUGGGGAAUAUUGGACAAUGGGCGCAAGCCUGAUCCAGCCAUACCGCGUGGGUGAAGAAGGCCUUCGGGUUGUAAAGCCCUUUUGUUGGGAAAGAAAAGCAGCAGGUUAAUACCCCGCUGUUCUGUCGGUACCCAAAGAAUAAGCACCGGCUAACUUCGUG
rnacentral:rRNA from 1 species